rnacentral:rRNA from 1 species
UACGUAGGGGGCGAGCGUUGUCCGGAAUUAUUGGGCGUAAAGCGCGCGCAGGUGGUUCCUUAAGUCUGAUGUGAAAGCCCACGGCUCAACCGUGGAGGGUCAUUGGAAACUGGGGAACUUGAGUGCAGAAGAGGAAAGUGGAAUUCCAAGUGUAGCGGUGAAAUGCGUAGAGAUUUGGAGGAACACCAGUGGCGAAGGCGACUUUCUGGUCUGUAACUGACACUGAGGCGCGAAAGCGUGGGGAGCAAACAGG